rnacentral:snRNA from 1 species
CUACUUACCUGGCAGGGGAGACACCAUGAUCACGUAGGUGGUUUUCCAGGGUGAGGCUCCGCCAUUGCACUUUGGGGCUGUGCUGACCCCUGCGAUUUCCCCAAGUGCGGGAAACUCGACUGCAUAAUUGGUGGUAGUGGGGGACUGCGUUCGCGCCCUCCCCUG